UUUUCAAAAGAGUAACAAUUAAUAUUAUAUGUUAUUAAUUAUAACAUGGCACAGAAUGCCAAACACGUAGAGCACAAGAAACUACAUCCAAAUACUGGAGGAAAAGGAUGAAAGACACUAAGUUAGAAAAAAUCCAAUAAAGUUUAGAUACAUCAUUCGAGUUUUAUUCGCCUUCAUUGUUUGUUGAUGGUGAGUGACUAAUACGACAACGAAAAAUUGAAUUACAGCCACGAUGAUAGGGCUUUGAAGGUUUUGGUAGUGUCUGCUUGGAUUGGGAAAUGCUAAGCAUAUGCUGCGAUUUGAACAAAUCUUUAUUGGGUAGCCCUUUAGCCAUCUUCUCGUGCACUGCCUCCACAAAAUAAUAGUUGUUAAGUAGCAAAAACCAAAUCAUUGCAAGCUCUACCAACCUCCACUUCAUCUUCACUUGUGCCAUGUCUCUCAAGCACUCAUAAAUCUCCAUCUAUCUUGGUGGCAAUAAGAGUUCUCUAGAACAGCAUGUUACUCGAUGUAGAUCAUAUGCACAAGCCUAGGAUUCAAAACAAACACCAAGAAAAAAAGCAAGGAAGAAGAAUUUUUCAGAAAGAAGAAAAAUUUCUUUGUU
rnacentral:lncRNA from 1 species